CAAGAUACCUGGUUGAUCCUGCCAGUAGUCAUAUGCUUGUUUCAAGGACUAAGCCAUGCAAGUCUCAGAGUAAAUGGAUUAACAGUAGGUCUGCAGACAGCUCAUUAAACCAGCUUGAACCUACGCGGAGAAACUGCCUUUUGGCAGACUAUUGGAUAACUUUGGUAACCCCAAAGCUAAUACAUGUCAGUAAAACCCGCACAGAUUCAACCCUUGGAUUUCGGUUCGAGGGCUGUGCUGGGUGCAAUUGACCGAAACAAAAACCAACGCUAGCAAUAGCAGCGGUGAUUGGAUGAUUCAGGUCAAUCGAGUAGUAGCGCAUGCUUUCGUGGCGCUUGUCCGCACGGCAAUCUGCCCUAUCAGCUUUUGACGGUAGUGUAGUGGACUACCGUGGCUGUAACGGGUAACGGGGAAUUAGGGUUCGAUUCCGGAGAGGGAGCCUGAGAAACGGCUACCACAACUAAGGUUGGCAGCAGGCGCGCAAAUUGCCCAAUAGCAACACAUCGCUGAGGCAGCGAAGAGAAAUAGCAACUUCAUGCGGCCCUGCCGUGUGAAGAUUGCCAUGGACGAUAUCUAAACCUGUCGGUGAGUAUCAAUUGGUGGACAAGUCUGGUGCCAGCACCCGCGGUAAUUCCAGCACCAAUAGCGUAUAUUAAUGCUGCUGCUGUUAAAAAGCUCGUAGUUGGAUCAAGAGCUGGACUGUGCACGGUGGCCCCGUUAGUCGUGGUGGGUCCUGCUCAUCACGACGGCGGCGGAACUACCCCGCGCAUUACGCAGUCCACUCUAGCAGGCCGAAACGGUUCCCUGUGAGUAGGCCCCUUCAUUGGAGUCGAAAGCGCCAACGCAUCAACCAUAUGCAUACGGGACGUCGGCCAAUGUUACUGUGAACAAACCAGCGUGUCCAAAGCAGGCCUUCGCCUGAAUGUUCGAGCAUGGAAUAACAAGGGAUCGAUUCUCUCGGUUCUUUUUGUUGGUUUUUAACCCGAGAAGGAGUAAUUCAGUCCACGGUGUCUGAGUUGGGUUACCCUAGGUUUCGGCUUAGGCCCCAAUUAGGCCGUGUGCUUACGGGAUCAAUAGGGACUGACGGGGUCGUACGUACUUCCGCGUCAGAGGUGAAAUUCUUAGAUCGCGGGAAGACGAACUUCUGCGAAAGCAUUCGACAAGAAUGUCUUCAUUAAUCAAGAACGAGAGUGUGGGGAUCGAAGAUGAUCAGAUACCGUCGUAGUCCACUACUGUAAACAAUGCCGUCUCAGGAUUGAGAAGUGAACUGAAUGACUUUCACAGCACUAACCCCUGAAACGAGAAAUCAAAGAUUAUGGGUUCAGGGGGGAGUACAUUCGCAAGGCUGAAACUUAAAGGAAUUGACGGAAUGACACCACAAGGCGUGGAGUAUGCGGCUUAAUUUGACUCAACACGGGGAAUUUUACUAGGUCAGGACAAUGUAAGGAUUGACAGAUUGAGAGCUCUUUCUCGAUCCAUUGUGUGGUGGUGCAUGGCCGCUCCUGGUUGGUGGAGUGAUUUGUCUGGUUGAUUCCGUUAACGAACGAGAUCUCGACCCUUAAAUAGGUGCCCGUGUCGAUCGUAGUCUCACUCCGCUAGGCUUGCCUUUCUUGGAUGGGACGAGACUGCGGGAAUACUUCUUAAGGGGACUGUAUGCGUUUAUAGCAUGCGGAAGAGCGAGCCAAUAGCAGGUCUGUGAUGCUCCUAAAUGUCCUAGGCUGCACGCGCACUACACUGAUGCAAUAAACGAGUCUGAGUGCCUUCGGGCAACCUACCUGGAAGCGGGUGGGAAAUCUUUUGAACUUGCAUCGUGAUGAGGAUCGACGAUUGCAAUUAUUCUCCUUGAAUGAGGAAUGCCUAGUAGGCACAAGUCAUCAGCUUGUACUGAUUACGUCCCUGCCAUUUGUACACACCGCCCGUCGUUGCUACUGAUUGGCUGUAGGGUAGAGAUCAGCGGAUUGCGAACUGUUGGGGCAACUCUUCAGUUUGUGAGAAACUCAUCAAUAUUCUGCAGCUAGAAGAAGCAAAAGUCGUAACAAGGUUGCUGUAGGUGAACCUGCAGCAGGAUCAUUAC
rnacentral:rRNA from 1 species